ACCUGGGAUAGCUCAAUUGCUAGAGUAUGAGACUCUUAAUUUCAGGGUCGUCGGUUCAAGAACCACAUUGGAUA